AGCGAACGCUGGCGGCAGGCCUAACACAUGCAAGUCGAGCGCCGUAGCAAUACGGAGCGGCAGACGGGAUAGUAACACGUGGGAACGUGCCCUUUGGUUCGGAAUAACUCAGGGAAACUUGAGCUAAUACCGGAUAAGCCCUUCGGGGGAAAGAUUUAUUGCCAUUGGAGCGGCCCGCGUCGGAUUAGCUAGUUGGUGAGGUAAUGGCUCACCAAGGCGACGAUCCGUAGCUGGUCUGAGAGGAUGACCAGCAUCGCUGGGACUGAGACACGGCCCAGACUCCUACGGGAGGCAGCAGUGGGGAAUAUUGGACAAUGGGCGCAAGCCUGAUCCAGCCAUGCCGCGUGGGUGAAGAAGGCCCUAGGGUUGUAAACCCCUUUCAGCGGGGAAGAUAAUGACGGUACCCGCAGAAGAAGCCCCGGCUAACUCCGUGCCAGCCGCCGCCGUAA
rnacentral:rRNA from 1 species